rnacentral:rRNA from 1 species
UACGGGGGGAGCAAGCGUUGUUCGGAUUUACUGGGCGUAAAGGGCGCGUAGGCGGCCACCGCAAGUCGACUGUGAAAUCUCCGGGCUUAACCCGGAACGGUCAGCCGAUACUGCGGGGCUAGAGUGCAGAAGGGGCAACUGGAAUUCUCGGUGUAGCGGUGAAAUGCGUAGAUAUCAAGAGGAACACCUGCGGCGAAGGCGGGUUGCUGGGCUGACACUGACGCUGAUGCGCGAAAGCUAGGGGAGCGAACGGG